rnacentral:lncRNA from 1 species
UAAUACCUUCCCUCCUAUAGCACCAUGCUAGGCACCAAAAACUGGGAGAUGAGCAGAGCGUAGGCCCCAUGCUGCUCCAAGGCUAGCAGCCAAGGGAGACAAGGACAAAAGCCAUCACAGUGUCUGGCCAAAGUGAGGACACAAAGACAGGAGUGCUCAGACUGCAUCAGAGGGGACAAGGAAAAGACAUCAUGAAGCUGGAGAACCCUGAAUGGAGACUUGGAAGACAAGUUGGAGGUCUCCAGAGUGGAAGGGCUUGCAGGCAGGAUAAAGCCAAGUCUGGGGGAAAGUCAGCAUGUGGAAAAGUGCAGCAAAAAAGGAAAGAGCUAGAAGACAGAGGCAGCUCCCAGCGCUGCCAUGACCUGCUGGGCUCUGAGCGCCAGCCUGCUGUGGCUAACAGUGGCUCCCUACUGCCAUGUGAAAGGCACAUCUCCAUCAGCUGUGGUAAAUUGCCACUUGCAAGAGCCUCGGGUGCCAAUGCAGUUCCUGGAAAUGAGGGAUAAGAUUGAGCACAGAAGACUCAAAAAUAACCGGGCGCUCCUCAGAGGGAUCUGUGUCUUGGCAAGGAGGAAAAUCACCCCAAUGCUGCCUGUGAUUCCAGACCCAGGGCUAGUCAGUGGGACCCAAGACCAUGAACUCUGCUCACACUGCAGAAGAUGCGGAGCAAGGGGCCUGGGUUUCUAGUCACCAUGCUAUCCAAGAGCUGCUCUGUAGACGUUUCAGGCCAUUAGUACAAAAAUAAAUAAAUAAUGCAGGAG